rnacentral:rRNA from 1 species
GACGAACGCUGGCGGCGUGCUUAACACAUGCAAGUCGAACGGAAAGGCCCUGCUUUUGUGGGGUGCUCGAGUGGCGAACGGGUGAGUAACACGUGAGUAACCUGCCCUUGACUUUGGGAUAACUUCAGGAAACUGGGGCUAAUACCGGAUAGGAGCUCCUGCUGCAUGGUGGGGGUUGGAAAGUUUCGGCGGUUGGGGAUGGACUCGCGGCUUAUCAGCUUGUUGGUGGGGUAGUGGCUUACCAAGGCUUUGACGGGUAGCCGGCCUGAGAGGGUGACCGGCCACAUUGGGACUGAGAUGCGGCCCAGACUCCUACGGGAGGCAACAGUGGGGAAUAUUGCACAAUGGGCGGAAGCCUGAUGCAGCAACGCCGCGUGCGGGAUGACGGCCUUCGGGUUGUGAGCCGCUUUCGCAUGUGACGAAGCGUGAGUGACGGUAAUGGGUAAAGAAGCACCGGCUAACUACGUG